GACGAUGGACUCUAGCGAGGAGUACACAGACAGUGAGAUGAUAAGAGAUUUGUUAGUUAGGAACGACGACUUAACGGCUAGAGCUGAGCAAGCGGAGGCACAGAAUCGUACUCUCCAGAUUUCAGAACAGCAGUACAAGGACGCUGCUCACCGAACACAGAUAGAAUUAGCUGAGUUACGAGGGAGGUUGGAACAGAGAGAGA
rnacentral:lncRNA from 1 species